GUGACGAUAGCCUAGGAGAUACACCUGUACCCACUGCCGAACACAGAAGUUAAGCCCUAGAACGCCGGAAGUAGUUGGGGGUUGCCCCCUGUGAGAUAGGGAAGUCGCUUAGC
rnacentral:rRNA from 1 species